rnacentral:rRNA from 1 species
CCAGUCUAAUACAUGCAAGUCGCAACGGCAGCGGGUGUAGCAAUACAUGCCGGCGAGUGGCGCACGGGUGCGUAACGCGUAUGCAAUCUACCUGUAACUGGGGAAUAGCCUUCCGAAAGGAAGAUUAAUACCGCAUAACAUCAUGAAGUGGCAUCAUUUUAUGAUCAAAACUCCGGUGGUUACAGAUGAGCAUGCGUGACAUUAGCUAGUUGGUGAGGUAACGGCUCACCAAGGCGACGAUGUCUAGGGGGUCUGAGAGGAUGAUCCCCCACACUGGUACUGAGACACGGACCAGACUCCUACGGGAGGCAGCAGUAAGGAAUAUUGGACAAUGGCCGCAAGGCUGAUCCAGCCAUGCCGCGUGCAGGAUGAAGGUGCUCUGCAUUGUAAACUGCUUUUGUUCGGGAAUAAACCCUUUCACGUGUGAGAGGUUGAAUGUACCGAAAGAAUAAGGGACGGCUAACUUCGUGCCAGCAGCCGCGGUAAUACGAAGGUCCCAAGCGUUAUCCGGAUUUAUUGGGUUUAAAGGGUGCGUAGGCGGGUUAUUAAGUCAGUGGUGAAAGCUCCCAGCUCAACUGGGAAACUGCCAUUGAUACUGAUAGUCUUGAGUAUGAUUGAAGUGGGCGGAAUGUGUCAUGUAGCGGUGAAAUGCUUAGAUAUGACACAGAACACCGAUUGCGAAGGCAGCUCACUAAGCCAUAACUGACGCUGAUGCACGAAAGCGUGGGGAGCAAACAGGAUUAGAUACCCUGGGUAGUCCACGCCCUAAACGAUGAUCACUCGAUGUGUGCGAUAAACUGUACGCGUCCAAGCGAAAGCAUUAAGUGAUCCACCUGGGGGAGUACGACCGCAAGGGUUGAAACUCAAAGGGAAUUUGACGGGGGGCCCCGC